CCUACGGGAGGCAGCAGUGGGGGAUAUUGCACAAUGGGGGAAACCCUGAUGCAGCGACGCCGCGUGGGUGAAGGAGCGUUUCGACGCGUAAAGCCCUAUCGGCAGGGAAGAAGGAGGACGGUACCUGACUAAGAAGCCCCGGCUAACUACGUGCCAGCAGCCGCGGUAAUACGUAGGGGGCAAGCGUUAUCCGGAUUUACUGGGUGGAAAGGGGGGGCAGAUGGCAGCGCAAGCCAGGAGUGAAAGCCCGGGGCCCAACCCCGGGACUGCUCUUGGAACUGCGCGGCUGGAGUGCAGGAGGGGCAGGCGGAAUUCCUGGUGUAGCGGUGAAAUGCGUAGAUAUCAGGAGGAACACCGGUGGCGAAGGCGGCCUGCUGGACUGCGACUGACGGUGAGGCCCGAAAGCGUGGGGAGCAAACAGGAUUAGAUACCCGUGUAGUC
rnacentral:rRNA from 1 species